CCCUUAGAUGUUCUGGGCCGCACGCGUGCUACACUGAGUGGAUCAGCGGGUCAGGUUGCGCGAAAGCGUUUCCUAAUCUUUAAAUCCGCUCGUGAUGGGGAUUGACGGUUGCAGUUUUCUGUCAUGAACGAGGAAUACCUUGUAAGCGCGGGUCAUCAUCCCGCGCUGAAUACGUCCCUGCCCUUUGUACACACCGCCCGUCGCUCCUACCGAUUGAGUGGUCCGGUGAGGCUUUGGGAUCUGAGCGGAAAGAGCGUUUCGCUGUUUCUGCUCGGAAAACUCAGUCGAACCUUAUCAUUUAGAGGAAGGAGAAGUCGUAACA
rnacentral:rRNA from 1 species